rnacentral:rRNA from 1 species
UACGUAGGGGGCAAGCGUUGUCCGGAAUCACUGGGCGUAAAGCGCACGUAGGCGGCUUUUUAAGUCAGGGGUGAAAUCCUGGAGCUCAACUCCAGAACUGCCUUUGAUACUGAAAAGCUUGAGUCCGGGAGAGGUGAGUGGAACUGCAAGUGUAGAGGUGAAAUCCGUAGAUAUUCGCAAGAACACCAGUGGCGAAGGCGGCUCACUGGCCCGGUACUGACGCUGAGGUGCGAAAGCGUGGGGAGCAAGCAGG